GGCGGCGUACCCAAGUGGUUAAGGGAGCGGACUGCAAAUCCGUUAUGCGCCGGUUCGAAUCCGGCCGCCGCCUCCA
rnacentral:tRNA from 1 species